rnacentral:rRNA from 1 species
UACAGAGGGUGCGAGCGUUAAUCGGAAUUACUGGGCGUAAAGCGCACGUAGUCGGCUUUGCAAGUCGGUUGUGAAAUCCCCGGGCUCAACCUGGGAACUGCAUCCGAGACUGCAUUGCUAGAGUAUGGGAGAGGAAAGCGGAAUUUCUGGUGUAGCAGUGAAAUGCGUAGAUAUCAGAAGGAACACCGGUGGCGAAGGCGGAUCUCUGGGCCUGUUCUGACGCUGAGGCGCGAAAGCUAGGGGAGCGAACAGG